UUUUGUGUUUGAGAAAGCCCCUCACCAUGGCCUGGACUCUGUUUUUCCUGGCCCUUCUCAAUUACUGUUCAGGUAAGGAUGCAAACAGGUAACCUCAUGUAGACCUGAGAGAUAAAACCAAAAUUACUUGUAGUGUUUAUUUAUUAUGGAAACCUAAAGCUCUAGUGAUAUUUGAGAAGACAGAGGAUGGAGAGUCAUGCUUUUCUUUGUCUUUUCAAAAGGUGCCAAUUCACAGCCAACAGUGACUCAGACAGGCUCCCAGUCUGUGUCCCUGGGCCAAACUGUGAAACUCGCCUGCUCUGCAAGUAGUGGUGGUGACUGGGGCUACUUUCACUGGUAUCAACAGAAACCUGGACAGGCUCCUCGCUUUGUGUGUUCUGGCUCCGGUGACAGGGGAGAAGGGAUCCCAGAUCGGUUCACUGGCUCUGAAUCUGGGAACACUGGCUAUUUAACCAUCUCCAACAUCCAGGCUGAAGAUGAGGCCGUUUAUUACUGUGGUGCCUGGGAGGUCACUGGUGGUAGCAAGUUCCACAGUGAUACAAUCUGAUGGGGAACUGAGACAAAAACCUUUUCUCUUCUGCCCUGCCACAACGAAACCUGAGCUCCUCAAGAGCAGAGUUGGGCCUGAAUGAGCUCAGACUGUUUUUGACAAGAAUGUAGUAUGAUAUCAGAUUAUUUUGGACACCGGAAUGCAUCGAGAGAAAUGGCCUUGCUGUAAACAUCUGACACAGCUCAGCAAUAAACUGCAGCCCUCAGUUCUUAAUUCUCCUUGAUGGCUAGGUCAAAGCUCAACAACUUUGCCAAAAAACGAUCAUCAACUUUUGUGUCCGGAUUUUCACAUUUUGAAACAUGGCAACCCUGUUAAUAAAGAAAUAGCUGGGUUGUCGUUGUUUUUUAAUUUCCUUGCAAACAAGUCACAAUGAAUGUUCAAAAAGCAGUAGCCCAGUCCAAUAUUCCUCUUCUCAUCCCAGAAUCUCAAGGUCUUUCCCAUCAUCUGCUGCUUGAUCUAUUUAUCUCGGGUGCAAAGAACUGGACCUUCCACAUGCAAGUCACAUCCUUUGCCAUUAAACUUUCAUUCCCCUUUAUCCCUCUUCCCUUGAGAUAUCCCCAUCAGCCUUGAUAAGGAAGAAUUAUCCUGCUUCUUCCUUCAGGUCAUCCUCUACCAGACAAGCACCAUCGCUAAUAUUAUUUUUAAAUCUCCUUUCUGCUAAAGUAUUAUAUUGCAUUUCAUUUUGAUAUUGCAUUUUGUAUUCUCAGAAGAGAGACAAAGUUCUAAGAGAGCCAAUGAACAUGGGAUGUCCAUGAAAGGACCAUUCAUCAGCCCUGGGGAGAUAUAAGAAAGGAAAGUGUCAGGUCCCACCCAGCUUCCUGUUAGAGUCAACAUGCUCUUUAAAUGUAUUCUAAUUGUUUCUGUUAUUUCUUAGGAAAUUCACAUUGUAAUGCAAUAAAAGGCAAUAUGUAAGAAAUGAAACAAGCAAUGAAAAUACAAUUAAACGUGCAGCACCUAACACAGCACAUUACAAUUACUAUAAGAGGCAGAAAAAUUAUUAAGCACCCAUCCUUAAGACCCUAGGCAAUUUCAUAUGCACAACUCGCAGACUUAACAUAUAGAAUAAGAGAACAAGAAGAGCAUACAUUUAAAGAAGAUUGGAAAACAUUUAUUGAAUAUAUGGCGAAUAAUUGUGUACAGCUGAAAACACUGGCAGCAUUUAGAUAAAUUCAGCAGUGUAAACAAGUUUUGAUGGAUGCAAUAAUGGAAUACUGAACGGUAUAGUUUUUGUAAAAUAUGCAGGGAUUUAUGAUAUGUAAAGUGAACCAUGGAAAGAAAAGAAGGAAGUCAUUGGUAUCUUAAGGAUGUAAAAGGAGUAUUUUAAAUUGUAAAACAACCCACUUGGAAAUUGUCCAGGGUCUUAUAUAUAUAAAUUUCCAAGUGGGUUGUGUUUGGAAAUCUUUCCUCUCACCUCCAGGCCCUGAGAAACUUUGCCAUGGAAAUCUCAGUGUGUCUGGCUGUUGAUAGAGCUGCAAACUCUGCAGUCCUUCCUUUAAUCUGUAGGGGGCGAUGUAGGUCCACUUAGACCAGAUUUAGCAAAAAUUAUACCACCACAUAAACUUCCUGCAACUGCAGUGUGAAGUGAAAUGGAAGAAUGCUCUUUAUUUGUGAGUAAAUCUCCUGUGCCUUCCAACUCAUUCAGGUGCUAAUAUUCUGCGUCUCUAAUCUAGAAUAUGAGACACUGGGCUGACCAAAGGGGGAAUACCUGGUGCUCCAGGUGUUACUGAACUGUGAGUCCCAUCAGCCCCCUCCCAGACAGCAUGGCCAGGGACCAGCCUUACUGGAUACUGUAGAUCAGGGGCAGGCAACUUAAGGCCCUUGGGCUGGAUGCAGCCCAAUCACCUUGUCAAUCCGGCCCACGGACGCUCCAGGAAUCAGCGUGUUUUUACAUGCGUAGAAUGGGUCCUUUUAUUUAAAAUGCAUCUCUGGGUUAUUUGUGGGGCAUAGGAAUUCAUUCAUUCCCCCCCCCAAAAAAUACAGUCCUGUCCCCCAUAAGGUCUGAGGGACAGUGGACCAGCCCAAUGCUGAAAAAGGUUGCUGACCCCUGCUGUAGAUAGGGCCAAAGGUUCCCCACACCCGGUGCACAUGGUGGGGGAAAAAGAAGAAGAAGAAACCCUUAUUUUUGCUCCCAUUCCCUGUCAACGUAUAAUGCAAUCAGGUGCCAAAAUGUUUUAUCUAUUUUACAUAAACUAAACCCUUCAGUAUUCCAUUAAUACAUCCAUCAAAACUUAUUUACACUGUUGAAUUUAUCUUAAUGCUGCCAACGUUUUCAAGUGUACAAAAUUUCCCCCCAUGUAUUCAAGCAACAUUUUCCAGUCUUCUUUAAAAGUAUUUUCCUCUUGCUCUCUUAUUCUAUAUGUUCGCAUAUUCCAUCAGUUUAAGUAGCCAUUCUUCUUUAGUUGGGAUCUCUCUUAUUUUUCAUUUUUGGGGGCUAACGAAACACGGGCCACAGUAGUAGCAUACAUAAAUAACAUUUUCCCCCCUUACACCUGGGAAUUAUAUUCUUCUGAGCUCCUGUCCAUCUUCACCCCUCCUCUCCUGAGCUUUGAUCCCAGCAUUUGGCAGAGGGUCCAGGCAGCAGAUGCUGAGGGUGGCAGGGAGUGCUGGCCAAAUAUUGGAGGGUGGAGCUGUGUGUGCCUCGUGGUCUGGCCAGCCUUCCCUGAGCUCCCCUGCUGCUCUCUGGGGUGGAGAAGGAAAACCAUUACAUCCCACCGACCAGUGGGUGGUGCUGUCAUCCAAACCACUGAGUCUCUUGGGCUUGCAACUCAGAAGGUCAGCGGUUCGAAUCCCCCCAACGGGGUGAGCUCCCGUUGCUCUCUCCCAGCUCCUGCCAACCUAGCAGAUCAAAAGCACACCAGUGAAAGUAGAUAGAUAGGUACCACUGCGGCAGGAAGGUAAACAGCAUUUCCAUGCGCUCUGGUUUCCAUCACAGUGUCCUGUUGCACCAGAAGCGGUUUAGUCCUGCUGGCCACAUGACCCGGAAAGCUCUCUGCAGACAAACGCCAGUUCCCUUGGCCUGAAAGUGAGAUGAGCACCACAACCUCAUAGUCGCCUUUGACUGGACUUAACCGUCCAGGGGUCCUUUACCUUUACCUUUUACAUGCAGAAACACAGCACAAAAUCAGGUCCAGGAAGAGAACUGGUGACAGUGUUCUAGCCAGGAUACUCAAAACGUAUCCAUUCAUAAUUUCCUCCGAUUCCCAAGGAGUGCUUGGCAAUGGCGUUUGAAAGAGGCAUUCAAGGAUACUUUUUAUGCACAUCGUAGAGUGAAAGAGGAGGCGACUGCAGAGCAAAGAGUCCAGCCUGAUAUUUGACUGAAAACUGCUUCCUUUAUGAUAAGUUUGCUUAAAAAGAAAUCUUCAGUUCUACUCUGGUAAAUCUGGUGUGUGUUUUUUAAAGGUAUUUUAUUCUGAAACAUUAUAUACAUCCUUGGUGAUAAUCUGAGCUUUAGACACAAGGGGAGACAUUGGUUCAGUUUAUCUACCUUUGACAUAAUUCAUUUCUGGAGUCCCCAGAUGUCCUUGCACCUGCAGUAUGAAGACAGAGUUCAGGAACAGAUGAGCAGUUUAUUUGGCUGUUACUCAUGCAUGGAACUCAAGCAGGGCGAGAUUUAGGUUUGAUGGGGCCCUAAGCUACUGCAGGUAAUGGGGCCCUUUAUAUGUCCAGCUGUCCUUCGUCAACAACAAAUUGUCACUGUUUUUUGUGUUGAAUAUAUGCUAUAUGGUAAUUUUUGAACCUAAUAGGUAUCUAAAGCCAUUUGCACAUGCAGAAUUUCCUUUAAUUGUUUUGGGGGCCCCCAAUAGAGUGGGGGCCUAAGCUAUAGCUUGUUUAGCUUAUACUGUACGUAAAUCCGGCACUGAACUCAAGUGCCUGCACACAACUUUGACUGCCUUAUAAUACUCUUAGGGUUAAAAAAAUACAUUUAUGUAUGCUACUACAGCUGCCCGAAUGGUGUACGCCCAGAAAUGGAAAGAAGAAACAGUUCCAAUGAAAUAUGACUGGCAACUAGAGAGCUACUGUGGUGUAGUGGUUAAGAGUGGUGGACUCGUAAUCUGGGGAACUGGGUUCGCUUCCCCGCUCCUCCACAUGCAGCUGCUGAGUGACCUUGGGCCAGUCACACUUCUCUGAAGUCUCUCAGCCUCACUCACCUCACAGAGUGUUUGUUGUGGGUGAGGAAGGGAAAGGAGAAUGUUAGCCGCUUUGAGACUCCUUCGGGUAGUGAUAAAGCGGGAUAUCAAAUCCAAACUAAAAUUGAUGGAGUACGCAGAAAUGGCGAAACUUACCAGAAGAAUAAGAGAACAAGACGACAGACUUUUUAGAACAGAAUGGUUGAAUAUAUGAAGAUGUAUUAAAAACAUUAGCAGGACUGGCACAAACAUGUGCAGUAAGAAGCAAUUAAAAGGGAUUAUAAAGGCAAAAUAAGUAACCACCAGGGUGGGGGGAGCAAAGCUGAAGAAAAUGCAGAUUGGUUUUGUACAGAUUUAUUUUGGUUGUUAAAAUAAUUGUAAGAUGUGAAAAUGGAAAAUAAAAUUUUAUAUACCAGAUGUUUCAUGUAUAAGACCCUGUUUUGCUGUUUUGGGGGGUUAAAUAUAAUGAAAAUGAGGGGAGAUGGGCUGUUGCUGGGGGUUGGCAAAGUGGGCAGCCGCUCCCUCCGGAAACGCUCCCUAGAGCAUGGGCUGCCAACCAGCUGACUGAUGGACACGCAGUCCCCACCCCCAUGCCACUAUCCGUGUAUAGGACGACCCCAGUUUUUUGACAUGAUUUUUGAGUCAAAAAACCUCAUCUAACACAUGGGAAAAAACAUUAUAUUAGAGCCUCCCCCAAAAUAGACAUUUUGAGCUUUUCUGCUGUUUCUGCUGCUUUUUCCAUCUUGUUGCCAUACAUCUGGGCUUCCCCUAACAUUUUCUUGAGGAGAAAAGAUCAAUUGUUUCUGCCUAGAAUUCACAUUUCCUGAUCUGAGAAGAUAUAUUGAUGUAAAACACCCCUCUUCCCUUGGAUCAGAAAAAUCUGCAUUAUAGUAGGUCCAUCUGUUUUUUCAUUAAAGGCUAUUCCAGCCUGUCCACAUUUUCAGGUGAGAUUCCAUCACAUACUGGCAAAUCCAGGUGGCCCACUUAAAAUUGUGUUGGAGGACUUGUGCAGGAAACCAGCUUUCCCCCAAAUGUUGAGAUUUGGAAGAAGGAAAGGGAUGGGACAAGGUACUGGAAAGUGUGGGAGAACAUCUCUUUGACACAACGCCAUCUAACCUCCCUGCAACUAAAUCAGAACAAAAAUCAAUCCAUUUCCCAGGAUUCUUAUUCUGAUGCUAGCAUCUCGAAAGGGGCAUUAACCCAUCAUUUACUACCUGAUUCCUUUUUAAAUGGGAGGUGCCAGGGACUGUGUCUUGUGCAUGCACAUUUUGUGUCCUUUAGCACUAAGCUGUGAGCCCAUCUCUUUCUCUCUUCCCGUGAGUGACAGUCCCAAUCUGCCUUGAUCAUGGCAAAUCAUCCUACUUCUACUUCAGGUCCUCUCUCUCUCUCUCCCCAAAUCAGUCCUAUUGCAUCUGGUUGACCUACAAUCAUGCAUCCAAAUACAGACAUGCAGUUCUAGCAGAGCCAAUGAGCACAGUUUGGAUUUGCAUGAAGUGGCCAUUCAUCAGCUCCAGGCCAUUUAAGAAGCGAAAGGCUGAGGUUCCAGCCAGUUGCCUGUUUGGAUAAGAGAGCUCACCAUGGCCUGGACUCUGGUUUUUCUGGCCCUUCUCAGUUACUGCUCAGGUAAGGAUGGGGAGGAAUAACAUCUCUUUUGCCGUGGAGCCAACAGCACAAUAAACUAUAAUAUAUAUUCAUUUAUUAUGUUUAUUUAUUAUGGAAACUUAAAGCUCCAGUUAUAUAUAUUUGAGAAGACAGAGGAUGGAGAGUCAUGCUAUUCUUUUUCUUUUUCAAAAGGUGCCAAUUCAGAGCCAACAGUGACUCAGACAGGCUCCCAGUCUGUGUCCCUGGGCCAAACUGUGAAACUCUCCUGCUCUGGAAGUAGUGGUGGUAGCUGGGACUACUUUCACUGGUAUCAACAGAAACCUGGACAGGCUCCUCGCUUUGUGUGGUCUGGCUCCAGCACCAGGGGAGAAGGGAUCCCAGAUCGGUUCACUGGCUCUGAAUCUGGGAACACUGGCUAUUUAACCAUCUCCAACACCCAGCCUGAAGAUGAGGCCGUUUAUUACUGUGGUGCCUGGGAGGAUGACAGCAACAUGUUUCACGGUGAUACAAUCUGAUGGGGAACUGAGACAAAAACCUUUUCUCUUCUGCCCUGCCACAACGAAACCUGAGUUCCUCAAGAGCAGAGUUGGGCCUGAAUGAGCUCAGACUGUUUUUGACAAGAAUGUAGAGUGAUAUCAGAUUAUGUUAGACACUGGAAUGCAUUUAGAGAAAUGGCCUUGCUGUAAACAUCUGACACAGCUCAGCAAUAAAUUGCAGCCCUCAGUUCUUAAUUCUCCUUGAUGGCUAGGUCAAAGCUCAACAACUUUGCCAAAAAAACGAUCAUCAACUUUUGUGUCCGGAUUUUCACAUUUUGAAACAUGGCAACCCUGUUAAUAAAGAAAUAGCUGGGUUGUCGUUGUUUUUUAAUUUCCUUGCAAACAAGUCACAAUGAAUGUUCAAAAAGCAGUAGCCCAGUCCAAUAUUCCUCUUCUCAUCCCAGAAUCUCAAGGUCUUUCCCAUCAUCUGCUGCUUGAUCUAUUUAUCUCGGGUGCAAAGAACUGGACCUUCCACAUGCAAGUCACAUCCUUUGCCAUGAAACUUUCAUUCCCCUUUAUCCCUCUUCCCUUGAGAUAUCCCCAUCAGCCUUGAUAAGGAAGAAUUAUCCUGCUUCUUCCUUCAGGUCAUCCUCUACCAGACAAGCACCAUCGCUAAUAUUAUUUUUAAAUCUGCCUGGUAUCAACAGAAACCUGGUAGGCUCCUCGCUUUGUGUGGUCUGUCUCCAGCACCAGGGGAGAAGGGAUCCCAGAUCGGUUCACUGGCUCUGAAUCUGGGAACACUGGCUCUUUAACCAUCUCCAACAUCCAGGCUGAAGAUGAAGCAGUUUAUUUCUGUGGUGCCUGGGAGGGCACCGGUGGUGACAAGUUCCACAGUGAUACAAUCUGAUGGGAAAGUGAGACAAAAACCUUUUCUCUUCUGCCCUGCCACAACAAAACCUGAGUUCCUCAAGAGCAGGGUUGGGCCUGAAUGAGCUCAGACUGUUUUUGACAAGAAUGUAAAGUGAUAUCAGAUUAUUUAGACACAGGAAUGCAUUGAGAGAAAUGGCGUCACCGUAAAUAUCUGGCACAGCUCACCAAUAAAUUGCAGCCCUCAGUUCUUAACUCUCUCUUCCCCCAUUUCCAGUGAAGGCAUUCCCAGUUAGCCUAUGGCAACAAAGAGGGGAAUUUGAGACUGCAUGACAAAGUGAGAACAGCUCCUUAAUGCAAAUCAGUUCUUUUGUUUUGGACUUUAUUAUUGCACAUUUGCAUUCCCAGUAGAAAAGCCAAUGAAGGCACAGGAAUGGAUUUGCAUGAAUCCUCAGCUCUAGGGGAUUUAAGCAAGGGGAUGACGAAGUCCCAGCCAGUUCCCUGUUUGACUCAGAAAACCUCCCUCCUUUGGAGAGUCCACCAUGGCCCCAGCUCUGCUUUUCCUGGCUCUUCUCAGUUACUGUUCAGGUAAGGAGGCAAAGCGAUAAUCUUAUGUAAGUGCAAGAGAAAGAAGAAGAAGAAGAAUCUAAGAUGGUUAUCAAAGAAACAUAUAGCUCCUGCGAUAUUGGGGAGCACAGAGGAUCAAAGUAUUUGAUUUUCCUUUUUUGCAAGGUGUCACUUCACAGCCAGCCUUGACUCAGCCAGUCUCCCAGUCUGUGUCCCCAGGUGAAACUGAAACUCUCCUGCUCUCAAAAUAGUGGUGGUAGCUGGAGCAGGUUUCACUGGAAUCAACAGAUACCUGGGCAGGUUCCUCACUUUGUUCUCCAACAUCCAGGCUGAAGAUGAGGUAGUUUGUUACUGUGGUGCCUGAGAGUAUUAUAACAACAUGUUUCGCGGUGGUCCAGUCUGAUGGGGAACUGACACAAAAACCUUUGCUCUUCCAAUCCGGAGUGAAGAAUGAAGAGCCCAUUUUCUCUGUGCCUUAAGAUCUUUCAAAGUCUCGAGCCAAAGGGCUUUGCACUCGCUUCUCUGUGGCUGCCAUCUUACGCUGACAAUUAAGAAAAUCUCCUCCUCUAAUAGUUAGCUGAUCUCUGAUAUUAAAUGUUUAUGUUUUUACUGUAUGAUUUACAUCUGAUUGUUGCAGACUGCUGUGAUAUGUUUUUUUCCUGAAUAGUGGGGUAUAAAUAUUUUUAAACAAAUAGAUUAACAUGACAGCAAAAAAAUGGGAACCUAUUUAAAGAUAACUAUGAAAAAUGUUGGUCCGAAGUGAAAAAAGAUUUAGAAAUUUGGUCAAAUUUGAAGCUUUCACUGCUAGGCCGUAUUGCUGCAAUAAAAAUGAAUGUAUUGCCUAGAAUUUUGUUUUUGUUCCAAACUUUGCAGAUUGUGGACAAAAUGGAUUGUUUCAAGAGGUGGCAGAAAGAUAUUUCUAAAUUUGUCUGGCAGGGCAAGAAGCCCAGAAUAAAAUUUAAAAUAUUAACGGAUGCAAAGGAAAGAGGUGGAUUUGCCCUGCCAGACCUUAAACUUUACUAUGAAUCAGCAGCUUUUUGCUGGUUGAAGGAAUGGCUACUUCUUGAAAACACUGACAUUUUGGACUUGGAAGGUUUUAAUAAUGUAUUUGGAUGGCAUGCAUAUUUGUGGUACGAUAAGGUCAAGGCACAUAAAGCAUUUAGAAACCACAUUGUCAGGAAAGCGCUAUUUAAUGUUUGGAUAAGAUAUAAGGAUUUGCUAGAAAAUAAAACCCCAAGGUGGCUGUCACCAAUGGAAGCGAAAGCCUUGAAAAAGGUCAAUAUGGAGGUCAAAUGGCCGAAAUAUUGGGAAAUCUUGGAACAAGACGGAGAUAGACUGAAAUUGCAGAGCUUUGAAAAACUAAAAACAAAGUGCGAGACUGGCUUCAUUAUUAUCAGAUAAUGGAGGCAUUUAAAUUGGACAGGAAAAUUGGCUUCCAGGUGGAAAGAUCAAAAUUAGAAACAGAACUGUUAGAACCCAAAACUAAGAAUUUGUCAAGAAUGUAUAACCUGCUGCUGAAAUGGAAUACUCAGGAUGAAACGGUAAAAUCGGCUAUGAUUAAAUGGGCACAGGACAUUGGACAUAACAUUAUGUUUGCUGACUGGGAACAGUUGUGGACCACAGGUAUGAAAUUUACGGCAUGUAAUGCCUUAAGAGAGAAUAUUAUGAAAAUGAUAUACAGGUGGUACAUAACCCCAGUCAAGCUUGCAAAAAUUUAUCAUUUGCCCGAUAACAAAUGUUGGAAAUGUAAAGAAACUGAAGGUACAUUUUUUCACCUUUGGUGGACGUGCCCAAAGAUUAAGGCUUUCUGGGAAAUGAUAUAUAACGAAUUAAAAAAGGUAUUUAAAUAUACCUUCCCUAAGAAACCAGAGGCCUUUCUCCUGGGCAUAGUCGGCCAAAUGGUGUUAAAAAAGGAUAGAACUUUCUUUAUGUAUGCAACAACAGCAGCAAGAAUACUUAUCGCAAAGUAUUGGAAGACACAAGAACUUCCCACGCUGGAGGAAUGGCAGAUGAAACUUAUGGACUAUAUGGAAUUGGCGGAAAUGACUGGUAGAAUCCGUGACCAGGGAGAAGAGUCGAUGGAGGAAGAUUGGAAGAAAUUUAAAGACUAUCUUCAGAAACAUUGCAAAAUUAAAGAAUGCUAGAGUGAUGUUGGAUUGAAAAUAAGCUGUUUCCAGCUGUACAGGUUAAAGUUAAUGAUAGACUAAGAUUAAAAGAUUAGGAUUAAAGAUGUUUAAAGAAAUGGAAAUUUGACAUUAAGAGGAAAAAUUUUAACGUUAUAUGAUAUUAAGACUAAAGAUCAGGUUUAAAGAAGUUGAAGUUAUAUAUUUCAAUAUUUUAUUAAAGCUAAAGAUUGGGAUUAAAAAAGUGGAAAAGAAAUUGCCGGACAAACAAUUUUGGAUUCGAAUACAAAAGAGGGAGGUAUGAGGAAGUCCAGAAAAUAAGUAACUAAAAAACGGAAAUGGAAAAGAGAUAUUGUUUGUAAUUGUUAUGUUUUUUGUUCUUUUAUUGUUGAAUCUUGCUUUUUUCUUGCGUGUCUGUUUUAUGUAUUGUGUAUGUUUUUCUUUUCUUUCUUUGUUGUUCAAAAUUUUAAUAAAAAUUAUUUUUUUAAAAAAAAAAUAUUUUUAAACAAAGAAAUAAUAUGGUAGGACUUACACACACCCCCAGCCAACCAACCAGCCAUGAGUGCACACAGUCUGUUGUGACGCCGGAGGGGACAAAUGAUGAAGAGGAAAGUUUCUCUGUCUUUUUCUGUCUGUUUCUGUAAAGGUGUCCAUUCACAGCCAGCAGUCAUUCAGCCAGACUCCCAGUCUGUGUCUCUGGGCCAGACGACUAAACUCCCUGCUCCAAAAGUAGUGGGAGCUUGGACAGCUUUUACUGGUAUCAACAGAAACCCAGAGACGCUCCUCGUUUUGUGCUCUAUGGUGCCGACAAGAGGGGAGAAGGGAUCCCGGACCGGUUCACGGGCUCUUCCUCUGGGAACACUGGCUAUUUAACCAUCUCCAACAUCCAGGCUGAAGAUGAGGCCGUUUAUUUCUGUGUUGACUGGGAGCACACCGGUAGUAUCAUGUUUCACAGUGAAACAACCUAAUGGGGAACUGAGACAAAAACCUGUUCUCUUCCUCCCCAGAGUGCAGAAGGGACUAGAUCACUGGAGCUUCAUUUCAUCUGUGCCAGAAUAUCUUUUGCUAUCUAGACUUGUAAGGCUCAGUGAGGCCAUCUGGGCUUAGACACUUUUCAAUGGCAGUACCACCCACCCACCAACCAACUGCACCAGCAAUCUGUACCCUCAUUAGAAAAGGAAUUUCCCCCAAAAUCUUGAUGGAUCUUUUCUUAUUCCUAUUUUGCUCCUUCAUUUCAUUGAUUACUCACUUGUCAUUUGAAGAUCUCCAAGAGACAGUAAAAAGAUACACAGUACACAACACCUUGGGGUGGGGGAAAGUAGGGGGAAUCAUAUGAUACAUUAAUGCUGAUAAGGAAAAUAUUUGGGGUGUGAAUUGACUCCGCUGCCCAGUUCAUCGGGGUGCCACUCCUCAUGGGUCUCUCUGGUCAGCAAAAGAAGGAUUCUCCAGUCAAGUUAAAGAAGCAAACAGUGGUCAGUAGACCUGAUCUUUAUUUCUUGCAAGAAGGUUCAAACACAGAGAGAGUAGGAACCCUGAGCAUGGGGUUGCGUGAACUUUUAAGACCCCUCCCCAUUUCCCAUAAUACAUUUUCCAACAGCAUCAUCGAAACAUCACAAAUAUGUCACGAAGUAGGAGUGUUUGGCGUGUAGAAACAUGAGCCCAUCACACCCAGCCCUGUCAAUAGCUCCCCAUUCCCAGCACCUUUUAACUAACCUCUUCCCCAAAGAACAAUAAAAGUAUUUACACAUCUCCCUAGCUGCAAGGCUUUCCUGAGCUCCUCCUUUGAAAGUAUCCAGAUUCAAUCCUCCAUCUGGAUGGAUUUCUGUCUGGGGUAUGUGCUGCCCUUGAUCACCUCCUGUUGUGAGCCUCAGUUCACACCUUAUGGAGGGGCAAGGAGUACGUGACCUUAUGCUUAAGGGAUUAUGGAGGCAGGGGGAGCUCGUAUUCCCCUCUUCCAGAGGAGUCAUCAGCCUUUGGAACCAAGGAAAUCUGCCAAACUGUUGAAUUUGGGCGAUUAUUUGAUUCCAUAUGGGAAUGUCAGAGUUCCAUCCGCUAAUUGCUACAAUUUUAUAGACUGCUUUUCUGAGCCUCUUUGCUGUUGUCUAUGUAUGGCGCUUGUGUCAUUGACCUGGCCUUAGUUCGAGGCUGUGGUGGGGACUUGGGAUUUGGGGGGCGUCGUUUAACUGCCCCCCCAUUCCUGGUUUUAACAACACAGUGAUAUUUCAUAUAACAUCUAUUAAAAAACACGCUCUAAUAAUAAACAAAGCAAUCAUCAGCCCCAUUAAUGAAUAAACAAAAAUAAAUAAAACCUCAACUUUCCCUCGUCCAAAAAAACAUUCACAUCAAACCAACAAUUUCCCCCCUUUAAUCUUUCCACCCCACCCAGAGUCAGGUGCGGAGGGCAGCUGUUGCAAAUUGGGGGGGGUCUCAGCAGGGGGUGAGCACCUGCUCCCCCUUCUGUUUUAAAAAGGAGCAAUUCUCACAUAUAAUAUACAUUAUCAUUAGACAAUAUAUAGUACAGUGGUACCUCGGGUUAAGUACUUAAUUCGUUCUGGAGGUCAGUACUUAACCUGAAACUGUUCUUAACCUGAAGCACCACUUUAGCUAAUAGGGCCUCCUGCUACCGCCGCGCCGCUGGAGCCCGAUUUCUCUUCUUAUCCUGAAGCAAAGUUCUUAACCUGAGGUAAUAUUUCUGGGUUAGCUGAGUCUGUAACCUGAAGCGUAUGUAACCUGAGGUACCACUGUACGCAUCUACAGGGGCGAAAUGAUGAUGAUAAUGAGGAUGAGGAUGAUUUAGUUAUUUAUGUCCAGCCCAUCCGGCUGGGUUUCCCCAGCCACUCUGGGCAGCUUACAACACAUAAAAUAAUUCUAAAAUGUACAUAGCCACUUGGGGGGGGGGGGGGAGAGACACGAGGCAUGUGAAUGAGCCCAGCCUCUCAAAGGCGAGGCUGGGAUCGCAGGGCACAAGGCUGUUGCAUCCUUUGCGAGGCAUGUUUCCAUGGUGGGAAACGUUCGCUGUGUAGAAGACAAGACCCAUUCUCAUUUUUUAAAAAAAAUCAUUUAUGCAAAUCUGGGUGCAUUUGCAUAAAGGGGGACAUUCCCCAACCCUAGAGGACUUAAGAAAGCAAAGGGUGAGGUCCCAGCCAGUUAUUUUGUGUUUGAGAAAGCCCCUCACCAUGGCCUGGACUCUGUUUUUCCUGGCCCUUCUCAAUUACUGUUCAGGUAAGGAUGCAAACAGGUAACCUCAUGUAGACCUGAGAGAUAAAACCAAAAUUACUUGUAGUGUUUAUUUAUUAUGGAAACCUAAAGCUCUAGUGAUAUUUGAGAAGACAGAGGAUGGAGAGUCAUGCUUUUCUUUGUCUUUUUCAAAAGGUGCCAAUUCACAGCCAACAGUGACUCAGACAGGCUCCCAGUCUGUGUCCCUGGGCCAAACUGUGAAACUCGCCUGCUCUGCAAGUAGUGGUGGUGACUGGUACAGCUUUGGCUGGUAUCAACAGAAACCUGGACAGGCUCCUCGCUUUGUGUGGUUUGGCUCCAGCACCAGGGGAGAAGGGAUCCCAGAUCGGUUCACUGGCUCUGAAUCUGGGAACACUGGCUCUUUAACCAUCUCCAACAUCCAGGCUGAAGAUGAGGCCGUUUAUUACUGUGGUGCCUGGGAGGAUGACAGCAACAUGUUU